CCCUUCAUUCCACCGGAAUCUGUACUGGCAGAAAUCCGGAUUUCAGUGAAAUGAGGAACA
rnacentral:pre_miRNA from 1 species